rnacentral:lncRNA from 1 species
UGUUGCCCAGGCUGGUCUCAAACUCCUGAGCUCAAAGUGACCCCCCCACUUCGACCUCCCAAAGUGCCCAGCUCCAUCUUAGGUUUUGCAGCAAUCACCCUGGGUACACAUAUGGAGAAUGGAAUGAAGAGGUAAGCACUGGAGGCAGAAAGACCAGUUAUGGAAUCAUUUGUUGUCUCUGUAAGAAAUGAUGAAGUCCAGAACGAAUUUCCAGAACUGGUAGUGGGUAGGAAAUAAGAAGACAAAUUUGACAGCAAUUGGGAGUUGAAAUCAAGAAUUGGUGAGACACUGAGGAUGACUAUAAAGUCUGGAAAUUAGGUGGAUGGUGAUGCUUUCUAUUCAAGAUCAGAAC